CCUACGGGAGGCAGCAGUGGGGAAUAUUGGGCAAUGGGCGCAAGCCUGACCCAGCAACGCCGCGUGAAGGAAGAAGGCUUUCGGGUUGUAAACUUCUUUUCUGAGGGACGAAGAAAGUGACGGUACCUCAGGAAUAAGCCACGGCUAACUACGUGCCAGCAGACGCGGUAAUACGUAGGUGGCAAGCGUUAUGCGUAUUUAUUGUGUUAAAAGGGCGCGCAGGCGGAAGAGAAAGUCAGCGGAAAUAUUGAGGGGCCCAGCCUCUUCGAGCCGUGGAAACUGGUUUGCUUGAGUGAGCGUGCAGUAGGCGGAAUGCGUGGUGUAGCGGUGAAAUGCAUAGAUAUCACGCAGAACUCCGAUUGCGAAGGCAGCUUACCGGCGCUCAACUGACGCUGAUGCACGAAAGUGUGGGUAUCGAACAGGAUUAGAUACCCUUGUAGUC
rnacentral:rRNA from 1 species